UACGGAGGAUGCAAGCGUUAUCCGGAAUGAUUGGGCGUAAAGCGUCCGCAGGGGGCUAUGUAAGUCUGCUGUUAAAGAGUGAGGCUCAACCUCAUAAGAGCAGUGGAAACUACAUGGCUAGAGUGCGUUCGGGGCAGAGGGAAUUCCUGGUGUAGCGGUGAAAUGCGUAGAGAUCAGGAAGAACACCGGUGGCGAAAGCGCUCUGCUAGGCCGCAACUGGCACUCAUGGACGAAAGCUAGGGGAGCGAAUGGG
rnacentral:rRNA from 1 species